AAAUUGAAGAGUUUGAUCAUGGCUCAGAUUGAACGCUGGCGGCAGGCCUAACACAUGCAAGUCGAGCGGAAACGAGUUAUCUGAACCUUCGGGGAACGAUAACGGCGUCGAGCGGCGGACGGGUGAGUAAUGCCUAGGAAAUUGCCCUGAUGUGGGGGAUAACCAUUGGAAACGAUGGCUAAUACCGCAUAAUGCCUACGGGCCAAAGAGGGGGACCUUCGGGCCUCUCGCGUCAGGAUAUGCCUAGGUGGGAUUAGCUAGUUGGUGAGGUAAUGGCUCACCAAGGCGACGAUCCCUAGCUGGUCUGAGAGGAUGAUCAGCCACACUGGAACUGAGACACGGUCCAGACUCCUACGGGAGGCAGCAGUGGGGAAUAUUGCACAAUGGGCGCAAGCCUGAUGCAGCCAUGC
rnacentral:rRNA from 1 species